GUGAUAUCUCUGCAGAGAUUCCUAUUGUGCUGCCCUGGUCAACCCGACUAAACAUUGCAGUAGACGCCGCGAAGGGUUUAGCAUUCCUCGACGCAGACAAGACGGUGAUCGACCUUGCUUUGGCCAUGGUGGCGGCAGUGCUUUUGGUGCUGGGGCCUGGGGCAUGUUCCAUGGAGUGAUAAUUCAGUUAGCCAGCACAUUGAUUUGAUGGUAUGGUGCUACAGAAUCAGCCCUUGCUCUAUUUAAUUUAGUCUCUCUGUGGCUAAGUUCUGAUAGUUAUCCUCCAUGAGUUCUGAUAAUGAUUGUUCAUCCCUUGUCGAGCAAUUAUCCUAUAUCCAAUCAUUUUUCCAACCAGCUCGCUGAAAUGAGAGGUUUCAAGUUUCUUGUCACUGAUGGGGAAUCCUAGAUACUUCAUUGGGAAUUUACCAAGCCUGCAGUUCAGCAUGUUGGCAAUUUGUUGCCUCUCAGAUACAUCCAAUUUUUACCUUUCCUGUGGUAAUGGGGGUGUGAAGAAACAAAAUGUCAAGUAGUUCACGAACUGAUCACAACGUAGAAUGCUCAUAUUUUGUUAGAUUUUGGAUGUAAAGAUGGAGAAUUAUGAUUGUCUGAUUUCAUAAUAAAAUAUCUAUUUGUUGAAGAGACAUUUUUUUUAA